UACGUAGGGUGCAAGCGUUGUCCGGAAUUAUUGGGCGUAAAGAGCUCGUAGGCGGUUUGUCGCGUCUGCUGUGAAAACUGAGGGCUCAACCCCCAGCCUGCAGUGGGUACGGGCAGACUAGAGUGCGGUAGGGGAGAUUGGAAUUCCUGGUGUAGCGGUGGAAUGCGCAGAUAUCAGGAGGAACACCGAUGGCGAAGGCAGAUCUCUGGGCCGUAACUGACGCUGAGGAGCGAAAGCAUGGGGAGCGAACAGG
rnacentral:rRNA from 1 species